rnacentral:lncRNA from 1 species
UAUCGAAGUCUCUCACUGGUGAUAGGGUCCUGUGUAGAUGUUCGGACAGCAUGCGAAGUGGGGAUGUUCUAAAGUGAAAUAUCGGGCGUAGCGGUAUCCCCGGCUUGUGGAUCUUUGGAAGGC